GGGCCCGCACAAGCGGUGGAGUAUGUGGUUUAAUUCGAUGCAACGCGAAGAACCUUACCAGGGUUUGACAUCCUGCGAAUCUCUUGGAAACAGGAGAGUGCCUUCGGGAACGCAGUGACAGGUGGUGCAUGGCUGUCGUCAGCUCGUGUCGUGAGAUGUUGGGUUAAGUCCCGCAACGAGCGCAACCCACGUCUUUAGUUGCCAGCAUUAGUUGGGCACUCUAGAGAGACUGCCGGUGAUAAACCGGAGAAGGUGUGGAUGACGUCAAGUCAUCAUGCCCCUUACAUCUGGGCUACACACGUGCUACAAUGGCCGGUACAGAGAGCAGCCACUACGCGAGUAGGAGCGAAUCUUCAAAGCCGGUCUC
rnacentral:rRNA from 1 species